rnacentral:rRNA from 1 species
GAUGAACGCUGGCGGUAUGCUUAACACAUGCAAGUCGAACGGACUCUUCGGAGUUAGUGGCGGACGGGUGAGUAACGCGUGAGAAUCUGGCUUUGGGUUCGGGACAACCACUGGAAACGGUGGCUAAUACCGGAUGUGCCGAGAGGUAAAAGAGAAAUUGCCUGAAGAUGAGCUCGCGUCUGAUUAGCUAGUUGGUGAGGUAAAGGCUCACCAAGGCAGCGAUCAGUAGCUGGUCUGAGAGGAUGACCAGCCACACUGGGACUGAGACACGGCCCAGACCCCUACGGGAGGCAGCAGUGGGGAAUUUUCCGCAAUGGGCGAAAGCCUGACGGAGCAAUACCGCGUGAGGGAAGAAGGCUCUUGGGGUGUAAACCUCUUUUCUUAGGGAAGAACAAAAUGACGGUACCUAAGGAAUCAGCAUCGGCUAACUCCGUG